rnacentral:rRNA from 1 species
AGAGUUUGAUCAUGGCUCAGAUUGAACGCUGGCGGCAGGCCUAACACAUGCAAGUCGAACGGUAACAGGAAACAGCUUGCUGUUUCGCUGACGAGUGGCGGACGGGUGAGUAAUGUCUGGGAAACUGCCUGAUGGAGGGGGAUAACUACUGGAAACGGUAGCUAAUACCGCAUAACGUCGCAAGACCAAAGAGGGGGACCUUCGGGCCUCUUGCCAUCAGAUGUGCCCAGAUGGGAUUAGCUAGUAGGUGGGGUAACGGCUCACCUAGGCGACGAUCCCUAGCUGGUCUGAGAGGAUGACCAGCCACACUGGAACUGAGACACGGUCCAGACUCCUACGGGAGGCAGCAGUGGGGAAUAUUGCACAAUGGGCGCAAGCCUGAUGCAGCCAUGCCGCGUGUAUGAAGAAGGCCUUCGGGUUGUAAAGUACUUUCAGCGGGGAGGAAGGGAGUAAAGUUAAUACCUUUGCUCAUUGACGUUACCCGCAGAAGAAGCACCGGCUAACUCCGUGCCAGCAGCCGCGGUAAUACGGAGGGUGCAAGCGUUAAUCGGAAUUACCGGGCGUAAAGCGCACGCAGGCGGUUUGUUAAGUCAGAUGUGAAAUCCCCGGGCUCAACCUGGGAACUGCAUCUGAUACUGGCAAGCUUGAGUCUCGUAGAGGGGGGUAGAAUUCCAGGUGUAGCGGUGAAAUGCGUAGAGAUCUGGAGGAACACCGGUGGCGAAGGCGGCCCCCUGGACGAAGACUGACGCUCAGGUGCGAAAGCGUGGGGAGCAAACAGGAUUAGAUACCCUGGUAGUCCACGCCGUAAACGAUGUCGACUUGGAGGUUGUGCCCUUGAGGCGUGGCUUCCGGAGCUAACGCGUUAAGUCGACCGCCUGGGGAGUACGGCCGCAAGGUUAAAACUCAAAUGAAUUGACGGGGGCCCGCACAAGCGGUGGAGCAUGUGGUUUAAUUCGAUGCAACGCGAAGAACCUUACCUGGUCUUGACAUCCACGGAAGUUUUCAGAGAUGAGAAUGUGCCUUCGGGAACCGUGAGACAGGUGCUGCAUGGCUGUCGUCAGCUCGUGUUGUGAAAUGUUGGGUUAAGUCCCGCAACGAGCGCAACCCUUAUCCUUUGUUGCCAGCGGUCCGGCCGGGAACUCAAAGGAGACUGCCAGUGAUAAACUGGAGGAAGGUGGGGAUGACGUCAGGUCAUCAUGGCCCUUACGACCAGGGCUACACACGUACUACAAUGGCGCAUACAAAGAGAAGCGACCUCGCGAGAGCAAGCGGACCUCAUAAAGUGCGUCGUAGUCCGGAUUGGAGUCUGCAACUCGACUCCAUGAAGUCGGAAUCGCUAGUAAUCGUGGAUCAGAAUGCCACGGUGAAUACGUUCCCGGGCCUUGUACAAACCGCCCGUCACACCAUGGGAGUGGGUUGCAAAAGAAGUAGGUAGCUUAACCUUCGGGAGGGCGCUUACCACUUUGUGAUUCAUGACUGGGGUGAAGUCGUAACAAGGUAACCGUAGGGGAACCUGCGGUUG